CCUACGGGAGGCAGCAGUAGGGAAUCUUCCACAAUGGGCGCAAGCCUGAUGCAGCAACACCGCGUGAGGGAAGAAGGGUUUCGGCUCGUAAAGCUCUGUUGUUGGAGAAGAACGUGCGUGAGGGUAAUUGUUCACGCAGUGCCGCUAUCCAACCAGAAGGUCACGCCUAACUACGUGCCAGCCGCCGCGGUAAUACGUAGGUGGCAAGUGUUAUCCGGAUUGAUGGGGGGUUAAGCGAGAGCAGGCGGCAGGUUAGGUCUGAUGUGAAAGCCUUCGGCUUAACCCAAGAAGUGAAUCCGAAACUAGCAGACUAGAGUGCAGGAGAGGAAAGUGGAAGUCCAAGUGUAGCGGUGGAAUGCGUAGAUAUAAGGAAGAACACCAGUGGCGAAGGCGGCUGUCUGGACUGAAACUGACGCUGAGGCACGAAAGCGUGGGGAGCGAACAGGAUUAGAUACCCUAGUAGUC
rnacentral:rRNA from 1 species